rnacentral:tRNA from 1 species
CACUAAGAAGCUAUGUACCAGCACUAGCCUUUUAAGCUAGAGAAAGAGGACUACCUACCCUCCUUAGUGA